AAUCCAGAUACUAUAGUAGACAAAGUUGCUGCUACCAAGGUUUUUAACUCCGCUUGCUGUGACCAUCAAGUGACCACAGGUGUCACAAAAUCAAAAUUUCAUAAUUGAAAUGUUGAGGCCAAUAUUUAUUUGGUCAUGUCUCAGAAAUGUAACAAUAAAACAAUGUGUGCAAAAGAAGCAAUUAGCAAGAGAGAGCCCACAUGAAGCAUAUGUUCACACUCACAAUAUGUUCUCUCUUGUUAUAUUUAAAGAAAAGUUUCGCGGCAUGGUUGGCAUUAAGUUCAUAUUCUCAAUCCAAAAUGAAAUAUGAUCAGGAAUGUUUCUAUGGGACACGUAGUUCAAACGCUGCCGUAGCAACAUGCCGGUGAGGAUGCAGGUACUUUUCCUCAGAGCUCCGGAGGAAGUUGUCAGACGCCAUUUUGGAGAUUAACGGAGGAGGCGUUAACCAGCGGCAGCGUUAGCAUCAUGGCUAACUCAAUAAGCAGAGAACAACUGUAACAACAAAACUACCACGAGUGAGGUAUAAGUGCUAAGACAAUCAUCGAUCCCCCAGCCAGCAGCUGUCCGAGAGAAUGAGCUCCAGGUGAAGGCCCACGGCUCUCAGGCUCAGCUUUGGUUUCGGCCUCAUCACACUUUCAUGAGGAGCUUACAGGCCACAAUGGAGGCUCCUUAAGAUGCAUCGUAAGGCCCCUCAGACCAGCAAAUGCUAUAAAGGGCUUCCAGUGACCACGAAACCUUUGAAAUGUCAUUAUCUCCCGAUAUUUUAAUAAAUUCAACGCUCACA